AGGGGAUGGGACAAGGAGGGAGAGGAAAGAGAGGCGCCACAGAAUGCCUGGAGGAAGAGACGACCAGGAGAAUGGAAGUUCCUGGCAAUCUGCAAAAAUCUCAUGGAUGCACCGGCACUUCCACAGGGCAUGGAAUGACGGUCUCAACUCUGUGACCUCUGGCUUCAGGGCCAUCCGAGUCACCUACAUAUACGUGUAAGAGACUCCUCUCCCCAAAUCUAGAAGGUUCGAUGGGGGCUUGUCACAACUGGAGAAAAUUGCUCACAGAAACUCUAUCAGUGAUGCUGAGUCCUGCCUUUGAACCCCUGCUGAAAAUACCCAGAUCAUUUUCAAAAUGAAUAAAAGAAUG